AUGGUGAGUAAGCUCGGAUCGAUCGAUCAAUCCCACUUCUCGCCCGUCCCCAGUCCCGCGCCUGGUGGGAGAUUGGAAUUUCGAUCCCAUGUGAUUGGAGUGGGUUGUUUGUGUCUUGGUUGUGCUGUGCAGUCGGGGCGCAAGGAGACGGUGCUGGACCUGGCCAAGUUCGUCGACAAGGGCGUCCAGGUCAAGCUCACCGGCGGCAGGCAAGUUACAGGAACUUUGAAGGGCUAUGACCAGCUUCUGAACUUGGUGCUUGAUGAAGCGAUUGAGUUUGAAAGAGAGCAAGACGAUCCACUGAAACUGUCGACAAAAACCAGACAGCUUGGUCUCAUUGUCUGCAGGGGCACAGCGGUGAUGCUUGUAUCGCCAACGGAGGGAACAGAGGAGAUCAAAAACCCCUUCCAAGAGGCUGAUGGAGAACAAACCGCUCACUCCUAA
rnacentral:rRNA from 1 species